UACAGAGGUCUCAAGCGUUGUUCGGAUUCAUUGGGCGUAAAAGGGGUGCGUAGGCGGCGCGGUAAGUCGGAUGUGAAAUCUCGGAGCUUAACUCCGAAACUGCAUUCGAUACUGCCGUGCUUGAGGACUGGAGAGGAGACUGGAAUUUACGGUGUAGCGGUGAAAUGCGUAGAUAUCGUAAGGAGACCAGUGGCGAAGGCGGGUCUCUGGACAGUUCCUGACGUGAGGCACGGAAGGCCAGGGGAGCAAACGGG
rnacentral:rRNA from 1 species